CGGGGUGUAGCUCAGUGGUAGAGCGCGCGCUUUGGGAGCGUGAGGUCGCACGUUCAAUCCGUGUCACCCCGA
rnacentral:tRNA from 1 species